UGCUCUGAAAAGCCAUCUUUGCAUUGUUCCCGUGUCCGGCUCCCCGUUCGCCGCAACCACCUCCGCCGCGCGCCUCCUCCGCCACCGCGGACUCAGGCAGCUUUCUCGCCAGAGUCCUCGAACUCUUGCUUUCUUUUUAAUCCGCUGCAUCGGAUCACCGGCGUGCCCCAUCAUGUCAGACGCGGCCGUGGACACCAGCGCCGAGAUGACCACCAAGGACUUAAAGGAGAAGAAGGAAGUUGUGGAGGAGGCCGAGAAUGGAAGAGACGCGCCUGCUAAUGGGAACGCUGAGAAUGAGGAAAAUGGAGAGCAGGAGGCCGACCACGAGGUAGAUGAAGAAGAGGAAGGGGGCGGGGGAGGAAGAGGAGGAGGUGGAGGAAGGCGAUGGUGAGGAAGAGGACGGAGACGAAGACGAGGAGGCCGAGGCAGCUACGGGCAAACGGGCAGCUGAAGACGAUGAGGAUGACGAUGUCGACACCAAGAAGCAGAAGACCGAUGAGGAUGACUAGACAGCAAAAAAGGAAAAGUUAAACUUAACCAAAAAAAAAAGGCCACCGUGACCUAUUCACCCUCCACUUCCCGUCUCUGAAUCUAAACGUGGUCACCUUCGAGUAGAGAGUCCCGCCCGCCUGCCCAACGCGGGCAGCGCCACCCGCAGAUGACACACGCUCUUGGCCACCCAGCCAAAACCACAACGUGAAUUUGCAACAGGGGAGGAAAAAAGAACCAAAACUUCCAAGGCCCUGCUUUUUUUCUUAAAAGUACUUUAAAAAGGAAAAUUUGUUUGUAUUUUUUAUUUACAUUUUAUAUUUUUGUACAUAUUGUUAGGGGUCAGCCAUUUUUAAUGAUCUCGGAUGACCAAACCAGCCUUUGGAGCGUUCUCUGUUCUACUUCUGACUUUACUUGUGGUGUGACCAUGUUCAUUAUAAUCCCAAAGGAGAAAAAAAACCUUGUAAAAAAAACAAAAACAACAACAA